AUGCUCCCGAAAAAUUGAAGAAGGCGAACCGAUGUCGACGCGGCUGCGGAUGCGCGCAAUAGUGCGAGCCCCCCCAGCAAAGUCGACGGACGAUACACUUAUGGCGGCCGGAGAACGAUCGAGAGAUGGAGUGCGACGGUCGAACGAAUUUACCCCGCACGGGUAGUCUCGCACGGGUCCUUCGGGGCCUCGCAUGCGGAAGACAGCGAGCGCGCAGCCCGGGAUUCUUUCCGCGGCAGCGAAUCGCAUUACGAAUACGAGGCCGGGGAGGCUCGCUCACGCGGGACUUCUUCGGCGCUCGCUUCACCGUUCUUACGGAGAGGCGCUACCUGGUUGAUCCUGCCAGUAGUCAUAUGCUUGUCUCAAAGAUUAAGCCAUGCAUGUCUGAGUUCGCACCCCUUACGCACGGGCAAACCGCGAAUGGCUCAUUAAAUCAGUCCGGGUUCCUUAGGCGACACGGCCCUCGCGGGCAUAUCGGAUAACUGUGGCAAAUCCAGAGCUAAUACGUGCGCAUCGAGCCCCGACCCGCCUUCUGGCGGGGAAGGGCGCUUUUAUUAGUACAAGACCGGCGUCCGUGGCGAUUCGUUCGCGCGGACCCUCGUCAGGCGAACUCUGGAUAACCGUCCCGACCGCUCCGUCCCUCGUGGACGGCGGCGCGCCUUUCAAGCGUCUGCCCUAUCAAAUGUCGACGGUAGGUCAUACGCCAACCGUGUUGACGACGGGUAACGGGGAAUCGGGGUUCGGUUCCGGAGAGGGAGCACGAGAAACGGCUACCACAUCCAAGGAAGGCAGCAGGCGCGCAACUUACCCACUCCCAGCUCGGGGAGGUAGUGACGAGAAAUAACGAUGCGGGUCUCAAGUCGGGCCCCGCGGUCGGAAUGAGCGCAGUCCAAACCCCUGACGGCGACGACCCAUUGGAGGGCAAGCCUGGUGCCAGCAGCCGCGGUAAUUCCAGCUCCAAUAGCGUAUAUUAAAGCUGCUGCAGUUAAAAAGCUCGUAGUUGGAUCUCGAGGCGGGCGGUGUCGCCCGGUGGGGGCGCGGCG
rnacentral:rRNA from 1 species